rnacentral:rRNA from 1 species
AACGCGAAGAACCUUACCAGGUCUUGACAUCCGAUGCAUAGUGCAGAGAUGCAUGAAGUCCUUCGGGACAUCGAGACAGGUGGUGCAUGGUUGUCGUCAGCUCGUGUCGUGAGAUGUUGGGUUAAGUCCCGCAACGAGCGCAACCCUUAUUGCCAGUUACUACGCAAGAGGACUCUGGCGAGACUGCCGUUGACAAAACGGAGGAAGGUGGGGAUGACGUCAAAUCAUCAUGCCCCUUAUGGCCAGGGCUACACACGUGCUACAAUGGCGUAAACAAAGGGAAGCGAACAUGUGAGUGUAAGCAAAUCUCAAAAAUAACGUCUCAGUUCGGAUUGUAGUCUGCAACUCGACUACAUGAAGCUGGAAUCGCUAGUAAUCGCGGAUCAGCAUGCCGCGGUGAAUACGUUCCCGGGUCUUGUACACACCG